rnacentral:rRNA from 1 species
AGGGUUUGAUUCUGGCUCAGAUUGAACGCUGGCGGCAUGCUUUACACAUGCAAGUCGAACGGCAGCGCGGGGAGCUUGCUCCCUGGCGGCGAGUGGCGCACGGGUGAGUAACACAUCGGAACGUGUCCUCUUGUGGGGGAUAACUGCCCGAAAGGGCAGCUAAUACCGCAUGAGACCUGAGGGUGAAAGCAGGGGAUCGCAAGACCUUGCGCGAGAGGAGCGGCCGAUGGCCGAUUAGCUGGUUGGGGAGGUAAAGGCUCACCAAGGCGACGAUCGGUAGCUGGUCUGAGAGGACGACCAGCCACACUGGGACUGAGACACGGCCCAG